rnacentral:rRNA from 1 species
GACGAACGCUGGCGGCGUGCUUAACACAUGCAAGUCGAACGGAAAGGCCCUGCUUUUGUGGGGUGCUCGAGUGGCGAACGGGUGAGUAACACGUGAGUAACCUGCCCUUGACUUUGGGAUAACUUCAGGAAACUGGGGCUAAUACCGGAUAGGAGCUCCUGCUGCAUGGUGGGGGUUGGAAAGUUUCGGCGGUUGGGGAUGGACUCGCGGCUUAUCAGCUUGUUGGUGGGGUAGUGGCUUACCAAGGCUUUGACGGGUAGCCGGCCUGAGAGGGUGACCGGCCAAAUUGGGACUGAGAUACGGCACAGACUCCUAAGGGAGGCAGCAGUGGGGAAUAUUGCAAAAUGGGCGGAAGCCUGAUGCAGCAACGCCGCGUGCGGGAUGACGGCCUUCGGGUUGUAAACCGCUUUCGCCUGUGACGAAGCGUGAGUGACGGUAAUGGGUAAAGAAGCACCGGCUAACUACGUG